rnacentral:lncRNA from 1 species
CAUGAAGAGAAAAUCCUGUGUGUGUGUCUUCAUACUUGCUGGCUCUAGUACCAGAAGAGAGGGAUCUGGCUUCAGAGCAGGACUGAAAACUUCUCACCAGUCUGGGGAUAAUAGUGUUGAGGCAAAUUCAUUCUCUUGACUUGCAAAAACAGAUUUUUCUCAUCUUCCUCCUUCUCUCACCUUUUUUGCAGUAGCAUUUUUCCUCAAAGUACAACUCAUUUUUUUACUAACGCCUAACUAAUCCUAGUGUUAUUUUAUCAUAUUUUUACCAAGAAUGUUCUAAAAAUCUUGGAGACGUUCCUCCAUGAUCUUGGGAAAAAAAGUUGCCAAAUGCUGUGCUGUUUUUUUUGUUUGUUUUUAAUUUUCUUUCAUUUACAGAUUUCAUGAAACUUAUAUUCUGUGGCUUUGACCCUCACCAAUCUUGGAAGAUUGAUCUCUCAAGGACAAACCCAGUGCCUAUUUCUCAGUCCUUUUUCUACUUGACAUUUGCAGAAUUGGCACUUUUUGCCACUGUUAUGCCUUAAAUCUUGAGCUUCUUUCAGGAUCCAUGAUUCUGUGCUGAUCUACACUUUUCCUACCUCUCAGCAUUUCUUUGAUUGUCAAUGAUCAGCUCUGUGAUUUGGGGCAAGGGUUAGGCCAGAAUUAUCUCAUUUUAUCAAGUUAUAAAACUUGAGGUAGUGCAACUAGAUUAUACACUUCUUGAAGACAGAAAUCUUGGUUUGUUUGUUGUUUUAUUUUUGAGAGAAGGUCUUGCUGUGUUGCCCAGGCUGGAGUGCAAUGGCACAAUCAUAGCUCACUGUAGCCUUGAACUUCUGGGCUCCUGCCACAGCCUCCUGAGUAGCUAGGGCUGCAAGUGUGUACCACCACACCCACAAUUUUAAAGUUUUUUUGUGGAGACAGGAUCUCACUAUAUUGGCAAGGCUGGCCUCCAUCUCCUGAACUCAAACAAUUCUCCCACCUCGGCUUCCGAAAACACUGACAUUACAGGUGUGAGCCACCACACCUGCCAGAAAUCUUGUUUUUGAUUGAUAUAAAACAUCACAAAGUACUGAGUAGACACUAAAUGCUCUGUAAUUAUUGCUCACUGAUUCCUCUUUAUCUGUAAUCAAUCAACUUGACUUUAUUUGAUAUGGAUUAAUAAUUGAUUUCUUUCUCUCUUUCUACUGCUGCUUCCAAGUUCUUGGUACCUUGUGCCUAGAUUACUAAAUUGAUCACUGUUGACUCACUACCAUUAUCUAGCUCCUUACUAAACUACUACUUUGUUAAAAAAAAAUAGUCGUUUCCCAGUGACCUCUGCCCCAAAUGUAAACUUCUUUAACCUAAAGGUCUUUCAUAGUUUGAUCUACUUACUUACUUCCUUUCUCUUCUCAAAGAUAAUACAUGCGGGCAGGCCUGUUUUGUCCCUACUAUACCCUCUUCUCACACUUUUCUUCUUUUCAAACUGUUCCUUGGCACUUCUACAUGUCCUACUUUCUUCGUUGUAUUCCAGAAACCCUAUCCACCCUUUUUUAAAGGCCAUGCUCAUAUCCUGGCUCUGUGACACUUUCAGUCCCCUGCCUUCUUAGAAAUCCUUUGUAGUGAUGGUUUGCAUUAUUCUCCUGUAUUAGACACCUUCUUUACUGUUUUCUGGUUCUUUCACAAGUACUUUUUUACAUAAGCUGUUUUGAAGUUGUAAAUCAUCCUAAAUCUUUUAUAAGCCUCAUAUAAUACAUAGUACAAUGCCAGCCUGGACUCUAGUUUUAAUCUAAAUACAUAGGGUUUAAUUUAGCAGCAUAAUCUUUUUAGUCUUUUGAAUGAUGAGGUAACCUCAUAGGUAUUUUGGCCCAUUUUGUUUUUCCUUGAAUUACAUAUAUAACUGACUAUUUAGACUGACUCCUUUAGAUCUCCUGGGAUGCUGACCUCUUGGCUUUCCAAUUCAUGAGACUAUUGUAAAGAAUAAGUGAGUUCAUUCAUGUAAAGUAGUAAAACAGUGCCUGACAAAAGUAAAUGCUCAAUAAAUUCUAAUUGUUAUGAUUCUAGU